GUCCCAGUUGUAUAAAUCGGACGUGGUAGCUUUCCAAGUCCUUUUCAGUUGAGCUCUGAAGUGCGGUGUGGAUCAUGUCAGGCGGUUCUGCGGAUUAUACUAGAGACCAUGGAGGCCCUGAUGGUAUGGACCCCGAUGGUGUCAUUGAGAGCAACUGGAAUGAAAUUGUUGACAAUUUUGAUGACAUGAAUCUUAAAGAAUCUCUUCUGAGAGGCAUUUAUGCUUAUGGUUUUGAAAAACCAUCAGCCAUACAACAAAGGGCAAUCAUUCCCUGUAUCAAAGGGUAUGAUGUGAUUGCUCAAGCUCAGUCAGGUACUGGCAAGACAGCCACAUUUGCUAUUUCCAUCCUGCAGCAGCUGGAGAUUGAUCUCAAGGAGACCCAAGCUCUAGUAUUGGCCCCUACAAGAGAACUCGCUCAACAGAUACAGAAAGUUAUUUUGGCAUUGGGUGACUAUAUGGGCGCGACUUGUCAUGCUUGCAUUGGAGGCACAAAUGUUCGAAAUGAGAUGCAGAAGCUGCAGGCAGAGGCACCUCACAUUGUUGUUGGCACACCAGGGCGUGUGUUCGACAUGUUAAAUCGAAGAUAUCUUUCUCCCAAAUGGAUCAAAAUGUUUGUUUUAGAUGAGGCAGAUGAAAUGUUGAGUCGUGGGUUCAAGGAUCAGAUCUAUGAAAUUUUUCAGAAGUUAAGCACAAACAUACAGGUGGUCCUGCUUUCUGCCACAAUGCCAACUGAUGUGUUGGAAGUGACCAAGAAAUUCAUGAGGGAUCCAAUUCGCAUCUUGGUGAAAAAAGAGGAAUUAACCCUGGAGGGUAUUAAACAGUUCUACAUUAAUGUCGAACGAGAGGAAUGGAAGCUGGACACCCUCUGUGACUUAUAUGAAACAUUAACUAUUACACAGGCUGUAAUUUUCCUUAAUACUAGAAGAAAAGUUGACUGGCUUACUGAGAAAAUGCAUGCAAGAGACUUUACAGUUUCUGCUCUGCAUGGUGACAUGGACCAGAAAGAGAGGGAUGUUAUUAUGAGAGAGUUUCGUUCUGGAUCCAGUCGUGUAUUAAUCACCACAGACUUGCUGGCUCGUGGCAUAGAUGUGCAGCAAGUUUCCCUGGUUAUAAAUUACGACUUGCCUACCAAUCGUGAAAACUACAUUCACAGUUAAGGAGCAGAAUACAGCUGCUCCCGGACACAGCUGAGAAUGGGCCUAUGGAAGUGGCGUCUUUCUCUUGAUCAGAGAACACACACUUCCGGUCGUGGUCUGAUGGCAGCCAGUGGAGCAUGGAUCAAAUCUUUGUAAAGGAUUGGUCGCGGUGGUCGAUUUGGCAGAAAAGGCGUGGCAAUUAACUUUGUUACAGAAGAGGACAAACGGAUUCUCCGUGAUAUUGAGACUUUCUACAAUACUACAGUGGAGGAGAUGCCAAUGAAUGUGGCCGACCUUAUUUGAUCCAUGGGAGGAGGUUGUUUGAAUACAGUGCUCGCUGUUGCUGAAUAGGCAAAUCACAACGCGCAUUGUGCUUUCUUUGGAAAAUUUGAAUCUUGUCUCAAUGCUCCAUAGUGGAUCAGAAUACAAAUUUUUUGAUAAGCAAAGCGACAACAGUCGCAUGCUCUGGAAGGAAGGCUGUUGGGCUUUUUCUUCUCUCCAGAAUUUAGACUGUUGGGGUGGGUUGUAAAGCAAUGGGGUCUUUACAUUUUAUUUUAAUUAGACAUUUAUUUCCUAGUUCAGUAGAAGUGGUUGUUCUAGAUGUUCUUUAUCAUUUAAUAACUUACUUAUGGACUAAAAGAUAUAAGUGCUGUAUAAAGUCAGCCAAUUAUGUUAAACUAUCACAUAUACCUUUAUUGUACAUUUCAGAUUUAGACUUUACUAAAUUGAAAGGACUAUACUUUUUGUAUAUUUAUUCAAUAAAGUAAUAAGUGUUUACGUGAGACCCUGAAACUCCAGCAAUGUCUUGGCUUGAUUGUAAAGUUGGUAUUGCACAUGUAUAAGUUGUAAUAAAUAGUGUAGAAAGGUCUA